rnacentral:tRNA from 5 species
GGUCCGGUAGUAUAGCCAGGUCAAGUAUUCGGCCCUUUCGAGGCCGAAACCCGGGUUCAAAUCCCGGCCGGACCA